rnacentral:rRNA from 1 species
UGGCGGACGGGUGAGUAACGCGUGGGUAACCUGCCCUAUACAGGGGGAUAACAGUUAGAAAUGACUGCUAAUACCGCAUAAGCGCACUAAAACCGCAUGGUUCGGUGUGAAAAACUGAGGUGGUAUAGGAUGGACCCGCGUCUGAUUAGCUAGUUGGUGGGGUAACGGCUCACCAAGGCGACGAUCAGUAGCCGGCCUGAGAGGGCGACCGGCCACAUUGGGACUGAGACACGGCCCAAACUCCUACGGAAGGCAGCAG